rfam:Picea glauca, whole genome shotgun sequence.
AUACUUACUUGGGUGGGUUUGAUAGAUGAUCAAGAGGGUAAUGGCCUAGGAAGGCCACCUCCAUUGCACUUGGGAGGGGGAUCUACCUGGCAUCUCCCAGUGAAGAGAGUGUAUGUUAUAAUUUUUCGUAGAGGAGGCUCACGUUCGUACGACCUCCAC